rnacentral:rRNA from 1 species
GAUGAACGCUGGCGGCGUGCCUAAUACAUGCAAGUCGAGCGAACAGACGAGGAGCUUGCUCCUCUGACGUUAGCGGCGGACGGGUGAGUAACACGUGGAUAACCUACCUAUAAGACUGGGAUAACUUCGGGAAACCGGAGCUAAUACCGGAUAAUAUAUUGAACCGCAUGGUUCAAUAGUGAAAGACGGUUUUGCUGUCACUCAUAGAUGGAUCCGCGCCGCAUUAGCUAGUUGGUAAGGUAACGGCUUACCAAGGCAACGAUGCGUAGCCGACCUGAGAGGGUGAUCGGCCACACUGGAACUGAGACACGGUCCAGACUCCUACGGGAGGCAGCAGUAGGGAAUCCUCCGCAAUGGGCGAAAGCUUGACGGAGCAACGCCGCGUGAGUGAUGAAGGUCUUCGGAUCGUAAAACUCUGUUAUUAGGGAAGAACAAAUGUGUAAGUAACUAUGCACGUCUUGACGGUACCUAAUCAGAAAGCCACGGCUAACUACGUG